rnacentral:rRNA from 1 species
GAGAGUUUGAUUCUGGCUCAGGAUGAACGCUGGCGGCGUGCCUAAUACAUGCAAGUCGAACGAAUCUUCUUCGGAAGAUGAGUGGCGAACGGGUGAGUAAUACAUAGGUAACCUGCCCCUGUGCGGGGGAUAACAGGAGGAAACUCCUGCUAAUACCGCAUAGCCAUGAGCACCGCAUGGAGCUCAUGCCAAAUAUCCUUUAUGGGAUAGCGCAGGGAUGGACCUAUGGCGCAUUAGCUUGUUGGCGGGGCAACGGCCCACCAAGGCAACGAUGCGUAGCCGGCCUGAGAGGGCGGACGGCCACAUUGGGACUGAGACACGGCCCAGACUCCUACGGGAGGCAGCAGUAGGGAAUUUUCGGCAAUGGGGGAAACCCUGACCGAGCAACGCCGCGUGAGCGAAGAAGGCCUUCGGGUCGUAAAGCUCUGUUGUAAAGGAAGAACGUCGCAUGCAGGAAAUGGUGUGCGAGUGACGGUACUUUACCAGAAAGCCACGGCUAACUACGUGCCCA